rnacentral:rRNA from 1 species
UGCAGUCGAGCGGUAACGGGUCCAGCUUGCUGGAUGCCGACGAAGCGGCGGACGGGUGAGUAAUGCAUAGGAAUCUGCCCGAUAGUGGGGGAUAACCUGGGGAAACCCAGGCUAAUACCGCAUACGUCCUACGGGAGAAAGCGGGGGCUCUUCGGACCUCGCGCUAUCGGAUGAGCCUAUGUCGGAUUAGCUGGUUGGUGAGGUAACGGCUCACCAAGGCGACGAUCCGUAGCUGGUCUGAGAGGAUGAUCAGCCACACCGGGACUGAGACACGGCCCGGACUCCUACGGGAGGCAGCAGUGGGGAAUAUUGGACAAUGGGCGCAAGCCUGAUCCAGCCAUGCCGCGUGUGUGAAGAAGGCUUUCGGGUUGUAAAGCACUUUCAGUGGGGAAGAAAGCGUGCCGGCCAAUACCCGGUACGGACGACAUCACCCACAGAAGAAGCACCGGCUAACUCCGUGCCAGCAGCCGCGGUAAUACGGAGGGUGCGAGCGUUAAUCGGAAUUACUGGGCGUAAAGCGCGCGUAGGCGGCUGAGUAAGCCGGUUGUGAAAGCCCCGGGCUCAACCUGGGAAUGGCAUCCGGAACUGUUUAGCUAGAGUGCAGGAGAGGAAGGUAGAAUUCCCGGUGUAGCGGUGAAAAUGCGUAGAGAUCGGGAGGAAUACCAGUGGCGAAGGCGGCCUUUCUGGGACUGACACUGACGCUGAGGUGCGAAAGCAUGGGUAGCAAACAGGAUUUAGAUACCCUGGUAGUCCAUGCCGUAAACGAUGUCGACUAGCCGUUGGGUCCCUUGAGGACUUAGUGGCGCAGUUAACGCGAUAAGUCGACCGCCUGGGGAGUACGGCCGCAAGGUUAAAACUCAAAUGAAUUGACGGGGGCCCGCACAAGCGGUGGAGCAUGUGGUUUAAUUCGAUGCAACGCGAGAUCUUUA